rnacentral:lncRNA from 1 species
CCCCGUGCAAGGAGUCCAAGGCGUUCGCCAAGCGCGAGAAGAACUCGAUCAAGAAGCUCACCACCUCGCUCAAUAAGUACGCCCCCGACAGCGCCCCCGCCCUCGCCAUCAACGCCACCAUCGAGAAGACCAAGCGCCGCUUCGAGAACUACGGCAAGUUCGGCCUGCUCUGCGGCGCCGACGGCCUGCCGCACCUCAUCGUCAGUGGCGACCAGCGGCACUGGGGCGAGUUCAUCACCCCGGGCCUGCUCUUCCUCUACAUCGCCGGGUGGAUCGGGUGGGUCGGCAGGAGCUACCUCAUCGCCAUCAGCGGCGAGAAGAAGCCCGCCAUGAGGGAGAUCAUCAUCGACGUCGAGCUCGCGUCGCGGCUCCUCCCCAGGGGGUUCAUCUGGCCCGUUGCAGCCUACCGCGAGCUCAUCAACGGAGACCUCGUCGUCGACGACAAGGACAUCGGCUACUACUAAGCGCGCCUGCAUGG